UUUCUCCUACGGGAGGCAGCAGUAGGGAAUCUUCCACAAUGGACGCAAGUCUGAUGGAGCAACGCCGCGUGAGUGAAGAAGGUUUUCGGAUCGUAAAGCUCUGUUGUUGGUGAAGAAAGAUAGUGAGAGUAACUGCUCAUUAUUUGCCGGUAAUCAACCAGAAAGUCACGGCUAACUACGUGCCAGCAGCCGCGGUAAUAA
rnacentral:rRNA from 1 species